AAAAAGAUAAGCUAACUAAGCUACUGGGUUCAUACCCCACUCAUAGAGAACAAUAAUCCUCUUCUUUUUA
rnacentral:tRNA from 1 species